rnacentral:rRNA from 1 species
UACGAAGGGUGCAAGCGUUAUUCGGAAUCACUGGGCGUAAAGAGUGCGUAGGCGGUAUGCUAAGUUUGUCGUUAAAGACUCUAGCCUAACUGGAGGGUUGCGAUGAAAACUGGUGCACUAGAGGAUGAGAGAGAGAAGUGGAAUUCCUGGAGUAGCGGUAAAAUGCGUGGAUCUCAGGAGGAACACCAAUGGCGAAGGCAGCUUCUUGGCUCAUAUCUGACGCUGAGGCACGAAAGCGUGGGGAGCAAACAGG